rnacentral:lncRNA from 1 species
CUGCUACUCAGAAAUUCCCGCAUCAGAACUUCCUAUACCAUCGAGAUCACUCUGGAGGUUGUCUUAGAGGAGGCUGAUUCUUUAUUAUUUGGUCCUUUGACACAGCCUGGAACAAGAACACAACUUAGGGCAGCUUGGAAGCCAGAUUUUAUCACUGCAAAGCUCCUUAGAGUUGCUCCUGGGAUGUAGGUGUCCCCCUAUCUCUGGGAUUCUUUUUAAAACAUAUUUGAUGUGGAUAGGCAUAUGUAUGCUAUUGUAAUGGCACAUGGUAAUGGCCUUGGGAGACAGAGGGAAGAUGUGCAACCCACAUGGUAAUGGCCUUGGGAGACAGAGGGAAGAUGCGCAACCAGGGCAAUGGUUGAACAAGUGGCAACUUAGCCCACAGCAAGAAUUCGUCUCUAAGAAGUUUACAGAGCCUCCAACAAUCUGGUCCUCAUUUUACUGACCUCAGAAGGAUGAAAGGCUGAGCCAAUCUUGAACCUGUGAGGAUUGAACUCCUGGCAGUGAGCU